AUUGAACGCUGGCGGCAGGCCUAACACAUGCAAGUCGAGCGGAUGAAGGGAGCUUGCUCCUGGAUUCAGCGGCGGACGGGUGAGUAAUGCCUAGGAAUCUGCCUGGUAGUGGGGGAUAACGUCCGGAAACGGGCGCUAAUACCGCAUACGUCCUGAGGGAGAAAGUGGGGGAUCUUCGGACCUCACGCUAUCAGAUGAGCCUAGGUCGGAUUAGCUAGUUGGUGGGGUAAAGGCCUACCAAGGCGACGAUCCGUAACUGGUCUGAGAGGAUGAUCAGUCACACUGGAACUGAGACACGGUCCAGGCUCCUACGGGAGGCAGCAGUGGGGAAUAUUGGACAAUGGGCGAAAGCCUGAUCCAGCCAUGCCGCGUGUGUGAAGAAGGUCUUCGGAUUGUAAAGCACUUUAAGUUGGGAGGAAGGGCAGUAAGUUAAUACCUUGCUGCUUUGACGUUACCAACAGAAUAAGCACCGGCUAACUUCGUG
rnacentral:rRNA from 1 species